AGUGGUUGUAUUUAAUAUGGAUUCAUUAUAUCCUGUGAUGCUGAAUGAAAAGUUAUCGAAGCAUCCCAGGAGAAGGCAAGUCAUCUAAACAAGUGGCAAUAUAAUCAUUAAUGGCAUUCUAAGUACUUCAUGGUCUAUUUGGAAAAUGUUAUUCUUUUGCUGGAGAGCAUGUUUACGGAUUACCAAACCAUGCAAGGAAAGGACUAGGAGUUGCCGACUGGUGGUAUAGUACAGCUUGUUUUGUACUAAAAUUUAACUAAUGGACUUGCACGACAUUAGACAUAAUAUAUAUGCUUGAUUGAGCACUGACACUACAUGCAGUGUAUUUUACUUGUAAUUCAAAAUUGAACAGAAUGUUUAACCCUUUAAGUGUGCUCUACUUUAUUAUUUUAUUAUUUUGUGUCCAAUGCAAGGUAUGCUGCCACUCAAUGGGUUAAAGUCUUUCUGUAGAUGGAAAUAUUGAACAAUAACUAUGUAAUAGCUAUUGUGCCGGGAAUGAAACCCCUGUGAUUCGGAUCAGCUCCUCAAUUGCAAAGAGUCCAUCAAGCCCCAAGAGUCAAUGAAGGUCACCAAGAGUUUAUGUAUAUAAUACUGAUACCAGUUAACUUAAUAUACUACCACUGACACCACCAUUUAAUGGUUUAUAUACAGUAUGUACAGCAACUUGUGGUGACCUCUUGGGAAACAGAC